AGCGAACGCUGGCGGUAUGCCUAACACAUGCAAGUCGAACGGCAGCGCAGUGAGUGCUUGCGCUGAUGGGGGGGGAGUGGGGGGCGGGUCACGUAUGUAACGGAAUCUACACUUUCGGGGGGGUUAAGGAAGGGAAAGUUACUCUAAUACCGCAGACGACGCACGGUGGAGGGCGGGGGAACUUUGGGCCGUUUGGGGUUGGAUGAGCCGAUGUCGAGUUAGUUAGUUGGGGGGGUAAAGGCCCAGCAAGUCGAGGAUCGGUAGCCCGUCUGAGAGAAGGGUAGGCCACACUGGAACUGAGACACGGUCAAGAGUCCUGCGGGAGGCAGCAGUGGGGAAUAUUGGGCAAUGGGCGCGAGCCUGAUCCAGCCAUACCGCGUGGGUGAAGACGGCGUCCGGGUUGUAAAGCCCGUUUGUUGGGAGAGAAAAGCAGCAGGUUAAUACGCCGCUGUUCUGACGGUACCGGAAGAAGAAGCACCGGCUAACUACGUG
rnacentral:rRNA from 1 species